GUGGGAGGAAGCUCAUUGUAGAGGUCACGUGCUGAGUGUUCGUCACUCCUCCAAUCACCUCGGGGAAGGUCUGAGACAAGAGCCAAUAGCUGCCCUAGCAGGGCAUCACCUGAUGCAGGUGAGCGAGCGAACAGCAAUACUGGGCUAAUGUGAGCUGCUCUCUCAGGAGAAGCUGUGUAAUGCAGUGGAUGUGAAGCUCACUGGCUUGGAAUCGCUCGCGGCUGGCGAAUGAGUGCGAUGUGUGAGGUGGAGCAUCGCUCCAGAACCCAAUUCAGACUACUCUCCUCCCAC
rnacentral:RNase_P_RNA from 1 species